GACGAACGCUGGCGGCGUGCCUAAUACAUGCAAGUAGAACGCUGAAGAGAGGAGCUUGCUCUUCUUGGAUGAGUUGCGAACGGGUGAGUAACGCGUAGGUAACCUGCCUUGUAGCGGGGGAUAACUAUUGGAAACGAUAGCUAAUACCGCAUAACAAUGGAUGACACAUGUCAUUUAUUUGAAAGGGGCAAUUGCUCCACUACAAGAUGGACCUGCGUUGUAUAGCUAGUAGGUGAGGUAAUGGCUCACCUAGGCGACGAUACAUAGCCGACCUGAGAGGGUGAUCGGCCACACUGGGACUGAGACACGGCCCAGACUCCUACGGGAGGCAGCAGUAGGGAAUCUUCGGCAAUGGGGGCAACCCUGACCGAGCAACGCCGCGUGAGUGAAGAAGGUUUUCGGAUCGUAAAGCUCUGUUGUAAGUCAAGAACGGGUGUGAGAGUGGAAAGUUCACACUGUGACGGUAGCUUACCAGAAAGGGACGGCUAACUACGUG
rnacentral:rRNA from 1 species